AUUCAACUUCCAUCUUUAGACAUUUUCCUGUUUAGUUACUAAAUACAAACUGAUAUGAGACCAGGAGUGACAGAAAUGUAAAUAGAAUAAAGCACUGGCUCAAAGCACUUCCACUGCAACAAGUGUUGCCACAUUCCCUUCUCAUUAUGUUUUCCAGUUAUUAAUCACAAGUGCACAAUUUUGGGAUGGUUACAUAAAAACAUAUAAACAAUUAAUAUCUUGCCUUUCUGGUUAAGGAUAGAAUGAUCAUAUUUUAACCUAAUGUCUGCCAUAUAGUCCUGAAAAUAUUCUUCUAUCUGAGGAUGUGCUACAAAAGUUUUAAAUAUUUUUAGAGGUUGUUUAAUGUUUACAUGGAUUUGCCAAAAUUUGCUUGGAGUUUGCCUAAGUUAUAGGCAAUAUUUUGUAUCAUAAUGUGGCAAUAAACUUGUUUAUGCCUAAAUUUUGUCUUUUGAAUUAAUUCCUUAUGAUUCAUUCCUAGGAGAGAAUAGGUCAAAAUACAUAAAUAUUUUAAUAGCUAUUGAUAAAUAUUUUUAUAUUGACUCUAUAAACCAUGCAUGUUUAAGUAUCCCUCUCCCAUAUGGUGUCCAAAUUAUUUAUGGCUAGGGACUAUACAUUUUUAUCUUUCUUUUCCAUUAUGAUUUAUUACAGGAUAUUGACUAUAGUUCCCUAUGCUGUAGAAAGUAGGACCUUGUUCUUUGGAAACGUGCUUUUCUAUUCAUGACUCCAAGACAUAGCACAUUAUUGGGCAUCUAAGAGAAGCCUCAUAUUAUUUGUCAAACUAUUUAACAAAUAAUAUUUGUAAAGUAUUCGUGGCUGAUUGAUACCAGCCACCAUCUAUUCCCUUCUACGUAAGGAUCGUAAUUUGGAUUUUAGCUGGUAUGUCAUGAAUCUACCUUGAAGAUAACCUCUCUUCCAAGCAAGCUAUGUGAACCCAAUGCUAGAUGGGAAAUUAAAUCUAGGCUAAUGGGCAUUAUACAAGUUUUCCACAGAAGCUGCUUAAAGGAUGAUAAUCAAGCUGGCAGAUUAACUUUUUGUCCUUUCCAUAGUCAUCUUUCCUGAUACCUGGAAUGUAGAGGUAAUAGCUAGAGCUCCAGCAGCCAUUUUAGAAAAGGAGUUAACAUUGAGGAUGGAAUCCAAGUACUAGGCUAAUUAAAUAAGAAAUAGAAAGAGCCUAGAUCUCUAAUAACCAAAAAAUAAUCCCCAAUAACCUAAUAAUCUUUCCUUGCACCCCUGUCUUAGGACUUAUUUUAUAUAACAGAAAUAAACAUCUACCCUACUUCAGCCCACUUUAUCUCAAGAAUUGGUUUCUAAACAACUGAACUAAAUAGCUAAUACUAAAAUAAUAUUAAGUGAGCUAAAUGACUGAUAAAAAUAAUGUCAAUGAAAAUGAGUAUAUGGUUUGACCUCCACCUUGACUAUAAAUAUAUUUAAUUUUAGAAUUUAUUCAUUUUAUAAAUUAGAAAUACCAACUCAGAUUUUUAAAUUUACAUUGAUUUUAUUAUUAGGGAUGUUUAUUUUACUAAGUGUGUUUAAUAUUUUUGUGAAUUAGCUAUCUGCCCCUUGACAUAUUUUUAUUCGAAUCAGAACGUUGUCAUCAGUUUUUGUGAACUCUUCAUAUGGUAUACAGAAUACAGUAAAAAGCAAACCAUGCCACAUGUCUAUAUUUGUCUAUAUUUGAGCUAUUUAUUGCUUUUAUAACAUUUUACAUUGGCAUAUAACAUAUUACUAAUUUUUCUUUGCAACUCUUCAGAGAAGAUAAUUUUAUGUUCCUACAGAGAAUCUCAAAUAUUCACGUGUUUAUACUCAUUUCCCUCAACUUCAUUUUGAAAUCCAAAUCUACCUAAAGCUUAAUUUUAAGAACUGUAUCUCAUAAUCUGUUUUACCCUCAAUUUUAAAGUGUCUUUUUAUAUUAAACAUAACAAAUCACAGGAAUUUGAAUCCUGGUUCUAAUGGAUGCAUUUCUUAGCCUCAUACAUUUAAAUUUCCUCAUCCGUAAACAGAUUCAAAAUAUAAAGAUUUAACAUCAUGUCCAGCCUAUACUUUUUAACUCAAUAGAGCCCUUUCUCUAUAUACUAAGCCUUAUAGAGCCUUCAUAAAAGAUAAAUUGAAGACAAUGACAUUAGCUUAAGGUUCAUUUAAUUUUAAGUACUGAAAUUCAAAUACUAAAAUUUCAAAUAAGCCUGUGUUUUAAGACUUACAUCUAUAAUUUCAAAUCAAAUUAUGUGUUGCUUGUUUUUACAGAGGAAAGUGGGUGUCAUUAUAGUCAGAGCAGUACAAGAAGUAAAUAAAUAGCUGAAUAGUUACAUUCGUCUUACUAGAUAGGUUUUUCUAUUGUUCACCAAAAUAUCUGGAGGUGAUUAAUGCCUAUUCCUGGGAAACAGAUAAAGUUUUCUGGACUCUGGGUUUAGUGGAAACAUUUAAGUGGAGAAAGCUUCUGAGAGGUAAAACAUUCAUUUUUCCUCGCAUUUAGUUCCCAAAUGGAGACAAAUAGCUUAAAAGCAAUAUUAACCUCAAUGUGCUUAGGCUAUUUAUCUUCAUAAGAAACAGUCUGAAAACAAGAAAACAAAGCCCAUAAAAAUGAUUUUAUUUAAUCACACAAGUAUAUCUCACCAAAAAUCUUUAGUUAUUUCCUUAGGGCUUAAUUCCAACCUCAGUAACUCAUGCACAAAUUCUAUGGAUGUCAAUGGAAGCCGUGCGUGUGGAACUCUGGGCCACAUUUGGUUGUCAUGGAUGAAUUAGCCAAAGAAGGCAUGAGAUCAAUUUUUUAAAACAUAAAGUGCUCUCAUUCUGUAAUCCUUUUCCAUCCUUCCAAAUUUAUUGACCUAAUCCAGUAAUAAUUAUUGAAUCUCCAUAAUAUACGUCAAACCACACUUUCAUGCAUGCGUCGCAGAGUCAGUGGCCUUAGAACAUUUACCUUUCCAUAUAAAUGUUAAUAAUCUUGCAGUAAUGUUUCAUCAUAGCAAAAAGAGAGUAUUGUGACAUGCUUUGCGACAAGGUCAAUUUCACUUAAGGAAAAAUGCUAACAUUUUAAAAGUCAGCCAUUAAAUUGGGGUUGUCAUUGCAUUUUUGUUAUCUUAUUACAGGAGAGUAAUCUGAUUUCUCUAGGGCCACAGUUAUUGAGGUGGGAUUAAAAAUAUUUAUUAAAAGUCAGGACAUAUAAUUGAAAAAAUUUAUAUCACUUUUUCUAAGUUUCAGAGAAACUGUGUUUAAGAAAAUCUUCCUUUAAAAAUGUUUAUCCAGAUAUUUUGGUAUGCAUAUUUUUCCUGGGAAGGUAAAAUGUCUUUGAAUUUCAUGCAACUUGUUAGAAUAAUACUGCCUCCCUCAGGGUUUAACCCCAGCUCUCUCCUUAGUGAGUAAAUUUAAUGUUACAUGUCUUAUGUACCUUGAGCUACACAUCAUGAUUGGUCUUAUAACAAGUAUCUGUACAUUGAGCAUCUAAAGGGAGAUUGCAGUGACUCACCAACAUUGCCUGAAGUCAUUUACUAUCCUUUUCUCAAGUUCAGUACAAGAGCCAUCCAGAGACAUUUCGAUGGAUUCAAUUACAUUCAAAUCAUAGUGUGCCAUAAGAAUCUUUUGCAGAUGAAUAUUCUUGGGCCUGACCUAGUUCUGUGUCUGAUGUGAACUGUGCAUUUUUAAUAAGCCUUCCAAAUAGCCCUGAUGCUACUGAUCUACAGUCUAUGCUUUGGCUAAACAGUGGCAUCAAGAAAGUGGAAGCUAAGUCAGCAGUAAAGCGUGUGGUGAGGAUUAUGGGGGCAGGAAGGCUAUGUGAACAUCAUCCUUUGCAUCAUUUGAAUAUGCAGGAGAAGCUUAGUGGCAAGGGGGCACCACACCUGGCUCACAUAUAGGACUCAAUCAUGGGGAAUUAAAUCAGAUGCUAUUUUUUAUUGACUCUGCUAUAUCUACUAUUGCUGCUCUCACACUAUCUGUUAUGAUUCAUAUAAUACUAUUAUCCAUGAUUG
rnacentral:lncRNA from 1 species